rnacentral:rRNA from 1 species
UACGUAGGUGGCAAGCGUUGUCCGGAAUUAUUGGGCGUAAAGGGUGCGUAGGCGGUUGUUUAAGUUUGGUGUGAAAUCUCCCGGCUCAACUGGGAGGGUGCGCCGAAUACUGAAUGACUAGAGUGCGGGAGAGGAGAGUGGAAUUCCUGGUGUAGCGGUGAAAUGCGUAGAUAUCAGGAGGAACACCGGUGGUGUAGACGGCUCUCUGGACCGUAACUGACGCUGAGGCACGAAAGCGUGGGUAGCAAACAGG